rnacentral:rRNA from 1 species
AUUGAACGCUGGCGGCAUGCCUUACACAUGCAAGUCGAACGGCAGCACGGGGGCAACCCUGUGGCGAGUGGCGAACGGGUGAGUAAUGCAUCGGAACGUGCCCAGUAGUGGGGAGUAACUAGUCGAAAGAUUAGCUAAUACCGCAUACGACCUAUGGGUGAAAGCGGGGGAGUCGCAAGACCUCGCGCUAUUGGAGCGGCCGAUGUCUGAUUAGCUAGNGGGCGGGGUAAAGACCCACCAAGGCUUCGAUCAGUAGCUGGUC